AUUGAACGCUGGCGGCAGGCUUAACACAUGCAAGUCGAGCGGGGGAAGGUAGCUUGCUACCGGACCUAGCGGCGGACGGGUGAGUAAUGCUUAGGAAUCUGCCUAUUAGUGGGGGACAACAUCUCGAAAGGGAUGCUAAUACCGCAUACGUCCUACGGGAGACAGCAGGGGAUCUUCGGACCUUGCGCUAAUAGAUGAGCCUAAGUCGGAUUAGCUAGUUGGUGGGGUAAAGGCCUACCAAGGCGACGAUCUGUAGCGGGUCUGAGAGGAUGAUCCGCCACACUGGGACUGGGACACGGCCCAGACUCCUACGGGAGGCAGCAGUGGGGAUAUUGGACAAUGGGGGGAACCCUGAUCCAGCCAUGCCGCGUGUGUGAAGAAGGCCUUAUGGUUGUAAAGCACUUUAAGCGAGGAGGAGGCUACUCUAGUUAAUACCUAGGGAUAGUGGACGUUACUCGCAGAAUAAGCACCAGCUAACUCUGUGCCAGCCGCCGCAGUAA
rnacentral:rRNA from 1 species